rnacentral:rRNA from 1 species
CAGCCGCCGCGGGAAAACGUAGGUGGCAAGCGCUGUCCGGAAUUAUUGGGCGUAAAGGGCUCGCAGGCGGUUUCUUAAGUCUGAUGUGAAAGCCCCCGGCUCAACCGGGGAGGGUCAUUGGAAACUGGGAAACUUGAGUGCAGAAGAGGAGAGUGGAAUUCCACGUGUAGCGGUGGAAUGCGUAGAGAUGUGGAGGAACACCAGUGGCGAAGGCGACUCUCUGGUCUGUAACUGACGCUGAGGAGCGAAAGCGUGGGGAGCGAACAGGAUUAGAUACCCGCGUAGUCCCUGUCUCUUAUAC